CAACACCACCUCCCUCUCCAGUGUAUCUUCUGGGCACUGGUCUCCAUCUACACUGUAUCCUGUGUCAGCUUAGUUUCUUACUUAAUUACUUACUUACUACCUACAAACUGAAAAGAAGCAACAUAAAGGAGGAGGGGCUUCUUUGGGCUCAAGGUUUCAGUGGAUAUUCUGUAUUAGUGAUAAAGACAUGGCCUCAAGAGCAUAAGGUAUCUGGUAUUUCACCUGUAGUCAGCAAGCAAAGAGCAGAAGAGAAGGGGACUGGGCUACAAAACCCCAAGGCCUAGAGACCCACCUCCCCCAGUGAGACUCCAUCUCUUAAAGACUCUACCACUCUCAAAAUGGUUCCAGUGCUGGGGACCAGGUAUUCAAACACACACUCCUGUGGGGACAUUUCCCAUUCAAACCACCACAAGCCUCAUGUUAAACCUCCAGGAAUCAUGGAUAUUCACCUGAUUUCUGUUUUGGAUUUUCAAACACGGCUUAGUGAGAUAAAUUUGUUCUUAACACGGUUUCUUGUAUGAUUCUUUAAAAUUAAUUACCUAGCACUUGACUAUAUUGUCCUAAGGUAAUAUAUAGUAUGAAUAGAGGUAUGGGUGAGAGGCUGGGGAAAGAAAGGAGCAUCGAGGAAAGCCACUGAGUUAGGUGGCUUCCAAAGUGCUUGGAGGUUUGACAAGAGCCCUAGAUGAUGCAGGGUAACUUUUUCCAAAAUAUGGUCAAAAUCAAAGUCACAGAAUUAUCCCUAUGUUGUUGAUGAACGUGACAUAUCACCCCAAUGUCAAUAAUUUGUUUUCCAUUUGGUUGCCACUGAAGGAGGGCCUGGGUUUUCGUCUGCCCUGCUUCCUGUUUGCUCUACCUUGUCUACCAAGGUGAAUAGGCCUUAUACUCCAACUGCUACAACCAUUAGCUAUUCCUAUCCCCUUUGUGCCUUCUCCCUCAUCAAGGAGUGUAUCCCCUCAAACCACGAGCCAAAACAAACCCUCCUUCCAUUAAGUCACCUUUUUGGCUGUUAUUUGAUCAUUUCAAUAAGAAAUAUAGCUAAUGAACCUUACGUUAAUUCUCUGGGAGGGAAAUCUAAAUCUAAGAAAGUGUCCACUGUGUAGUGGCUCCUUUGCCAUGUGCCUGGAGUUACAGCAGACCCCAAAGGUGUUGAUAAGAGAAGGACACUGAAUUGACCAAGAUGUUCUUUCAGAGUGAAGUUGCCAGGGAGAUGACCCAAGGUUCCAAAUAGGAAUCUGAGGCCUGGCAUCUAAUCUAUAUUCCAUAUGUGCUCCUUGACACUGACUUAGCAACAUUGGCCCACUGGUUGGUGGUAUACCAUUUUCCCCGUGGCUGGAUUCUGGUUUUCCCUUCCUUUUUAUUUAAUAAGACUCAUGACUUAAAUAAAAGGUUAAAAAGUAGCAACUGGGUGGCCCUGAAACAGAGACUCCUGGCCCAGAGCUCCUGACCGGUGUCUUUUUGACAGCUUUCAAGCUGAGCCUCAAAUGUUGCAUCUCAUCAAACAUGGUUCCUUCCAGACCCAAUUUCUAAAUUCACACACCAGAUGAAGUGUUCUCCGCCUGGAGAUGAUCAGGAUGCGGACUCGGCCAAACGGGAGCAGCUUGCCUUCUAGGCCACAGACUUGCGGCCCACCUUGGAGGCUGAAACGAAGCUACUGUACUCGCAUCCCAGCCUCACCCAGAAGCAUGGGCUUUCCAGCCAUGGCUCCUGCAACCUGCUUUCUCCGACUGCCUCGCCGCACCCCUCUCUAAGAGCUGUGCUCUUCUGUGUGGCGAGGCUGGUGGAAAGUUGACCAUCCAAGCCAAGAGCCAACACAGCCAGUGCUGGAUAAAUGACUUGAAGUGCUUUCUCAAGGGACCCUUUCCAGGUACAGGAGCGCCUCGUAACCAGAUUCGGCCAGAGCUGGCAGACCGCCUUGUUCGGGAGCACAGUAAAAAUCAAACUACAGACACCGUUUAGAAAGCAUAGAAAGCCCAAUGCUAACAUCUUAUGUAUUGAAACACUGUUACAUAAAACUGACCACAAAGCCCCAAAUUCAUACUUUCCUACUUUGUGAGGCUGGUUACCACCAGGAAUAAACCCGUGGAAGUGUGAGGCUGACUGUGUAGCCUCAAGAGGCCUAAGCAUAAGGCCGAACCUCGUUCCAAACCUUGGGGGCGAGAUCAAUGCCCUGGCCCUUGAGAGCAGCCAGGCCUGCGGCAAGGUGAGGGAGCCGGAGCUGUGGUCUCACCACACGAGUCUGGGGGCAAACACCAGCCUGAGCCAGGGCAGACCCAAUAGUUGCUUCCGGGACCCCUUUCAUGUACCUCAUAAAGCCCCAGACACAUUGGCACAGUUCGCAGGAUUUAAUGAAGCGUAGGCCCUGCCUGGAGCCAAGGGGGCAUUAGGGACUCAGAAUGAGGCUCUUUCAUACCCAGAGAGAUGGUGAUGCCGGAGGCCAGACUUCUGCAAUAGCUUUCUGCUGAGAAACUCAUCAUGGAACUCUUCUGGUUUUCCUCAGCAUGUCGGUGACAUCCACAGCAGGUCCUCCCCAUCUCUGUUUUGAAGCCGAACCCAGAAUAGUUCAGACAACCCCGGGACUAGAACUGGAACGCGAACCUCCUGAGUCUGCGUGGGAGGGCAGACAGUGGGCGUUUACACCAGGCUGAGCUCCCUGCUUUGCCUCAUCCAGUCUGUACAAGUUCGCCUCGGAGAAACUCCCCAUGAUACUUCUCACCCAAGGCACCCUAGAUGCAGACAGCUUAAGGUGGCGUGAACCUCUACAUCCAGAAAUCAGCAAAGCAAGAGAAGAGGCACUACAAGAACUGUGACUCUGCUCCUGCCGAGACCUCAACGACUCCAGACAGCAAAUACAGAAAUGGUCUCUUCUCCGAAGAUGGCCUGGAGUCAGGAGAAAGAGGUGCUUGGAAGUCAGGCCCUCCCAUAUUUCAGCACCGGUGCUGCUAUGUCCCACUGUGAAAACUCGAGUUCCAAGCCCUCCACACUUCCUGCUAGCAAGUGGAGCUGAGGAUACACAAGAAAUAGACGAAUUCGUCUGGAAGGAGUGCGGUCAAGAUCUUGGCAUCUAGAGUGGAGACCAUAAGAACCACCCGAAUGUGGGAAUGGCUUUGGCACAGAGUAUGGGUGGAAACUGGAGGAGCGGAGAGGAUUCUGAGGGAAGCUUUAGUGAAAUGUGGAAGUUCAGUGAGCACAUGGUUUAUAUGACAGAAACAGAGAGCUUCAUAGCCACUGGAAAUCAGCUGGGAAGAAAGGUCGCCGGUGAGCUGAGUGGCCCAGCGGAGAAUAUGGCAGCCAGGGUUAAGUGUUAACCAGCUUCUUCCUAGGGACAAUAACCAAUACAGUGUAUUUCAGUUCUCUUGUAGUUAUAACCAAAUACUUGACACACAUCCUAAAGGGAACGCACAUAUUUUAUGUCUUCACGAACUUCCACCCAUCCAUAGCUCCAUUGACUCUAAGCCCUUAGUGAAGCAGAGCAGCGCUGUGGUAGACAAGGUGGCUGUUCACUUCACGGUGGACAGGAAGCAGAGAGAAAGACAAACUUGGAACCAGGUAUAGCCUUCAAAGUCGGGCCCUAGUGACCACAUCUCCCAAAACCAUGUCAUCUGCUGAGGACAAAGUAUUUUAGAGGCGAGCCCGUGAGGGACAAUUCGAUCUCGAACCACACCAGACUGGUAUGUGAUAGACUUGAGUGAUGGCUGUUCUUGGUUGUCAGCUCUAGUACAUCUGGAAUUAACCAAAACCCAAAUGGCUAGGCACUCCUGGGAGGGAUUUUUUUUUCUUAAUUAAAUCAAGUGGGAAGACAAAAUCCUAAUUCAAAUCUUUGAGGCGGGAAGACCCAUCUUUAACCUGGGCCACAUCUUCUGCUGUCAGCCUACAUAAACAUGAAGAAGUAAACACUCACUCUCUGCUUGUUCUCCCCUUGCUGGCCAGUCUAUUCCUUCACUGCCAUUAGAGCCUACUUCUUCACAAGUCCAGUAUCUGCUGAAGACCGGCUGAAACUCCAGCUUCCUGGACUGGACAAUUACCAGAUUCUUGUACCUUCCAUUGGUGGACAGCCAUUGUUGGACUAGCUGGACCACAGCCUGUAAACCAUUCUAAUAAAUCCCCUUAAUAUAUA
rnacentral:sRNA from 1 species